rnacentral:rRNA from 1 species
UACAGAGGGUGCAAACGUUGUUCGGAAUUACUGGGCGUAAAGCGUGCGUAGGCGGUCUCGUAAGUCAGGUGUGAAAUCCCAAGGCUCAACCAUGGAAGUGCACUUGAUACUGCGAGGCUUGAGUACUGGAGAGGUUGGUGGAAUUCUUGGUGUAGAGGUGAAAUUCGUAGAUAUCAAGAGGAAUAUUGGUGGUGAAGGCGGCCAGCUGGACAGAUACUGACGCUGAGGCACGAAAGCGCGGGGAGCAAACAGG